UAUCUUUAUCGGCGGCUUGCCCUCGCCAGAGCUCCUCCUCGCCUAAUCCCACACAUUCCGCAUGGGUUCCUCACUACCCGACCCUCUGCAUGUUCAAGCAAAUCAGAGCUUGCAGCCAGAGAUGAGGAUUGCUGUGGAGAAAGCGGGAGGCAAAGGCGUCGCCCGAGCGUGCAAGAUCGUCAUUCUUGGCGUUUUUGUCCCUCUUCCUCCACCGUUCUGCUCCAUUUCUCAAUCCUCUUGUCCCGGUUUCCUCCCCACCCUGAUCUCUCCCGAUGUGGAAGUUGACUAGGGGUGGGGAACGCCGAGAGCCCUCGCCGACGUCUUCAAUGCUUCUGCGGCAGGUGGCCAGCGAUGUCCCGGACGGUGCGUGGAAGAUGCUGGACAUGCCAUCGCCAUGGCACAACACGGCGACAAGUCGUGCUGGCCACGCCGUGGCCCCGAGUGGCUGCUGAAGCCGGUGGAAGAGGAAGACCCGUCGAUGCCCACCGGCAAGGACCACCUCGGAGUGUGCUCCCAGCUGCUGGUGUCACGCCUCUCCUCGCUAUGCCAUAGGCGCCUGUCUGGUGAAUUUUCUCCUGCUGAACUUGCCUGCUUCCGGUUGGCGGUGUGAUGCCUCUCCUUGCCACGCCAUAUCCACACAUCUGGUGAGUUUCUCCUACCGAACUUGCGGAACUUAACUCUUAGCUGAAGGAACGGAACAACAAAUACAGAUUUUCCUGAUUAAAUCAAGAUGGAUCUAAGCAAGAUGUAAAAUUUAUCUACUGAUGAAAUCGUUGUAAACGGUUGCAGUGUCUAAUAGAACUUCAGAUGGAUCAAAUUAUUGUUCUUAUUCUACUCUCCAAAUGUUCGGUAUGUGAGAGAGUGACUUCUUAUGCCUGAUUAAAUGAUGUUGAUUUGUCAUAGCUAGAUGUAAAGAUAGAUCACUGUUAGAUAGUUAUACAUGUGCAUACCUCUGAAACAGAAACAUAUUUGGUUUCUACUCCUGCUAGCUAGGAGCAUACUUUUAGAACUAUUGCUAUUCAAUUGAUUAUUUUUACUUACAUGCUUCAUUGUGUAAAGUCUCUGCCAAAGAAAAUAUUAAACUGAACCAUGUUUGGUGCAAGAUAGAAGACUCUCUAUAUACAUAACCAGUUGUCCACUAACUGACCUGUAGCUGGCUAACUAAGCAAUUUCAUAUUUUUAUUUCUCUAACCAGAUUCUGUUAGCUUAUUAGUAUGAAAUUUUACAUUUGUAACUUUCCUGGUCAUACUACUAUUCAAUUUCACCAUAUUAUGAUCGGGAAUUUUCUGUAGCUGUCCAUAGAGCUUUAUCCCAAGAUAGUACUCCCUCCGUCCAUAAAUAUAUGUCUUAUAUUUGUCUAAAUUUGGAUGUAUCUAUACACUAAAUAGUGUCUAUAUACAUCUAAAAUUUGAUAAAUCUAAGACAUCUAUUUAUAGACAGAGGUAGUAUAAUUGUUUCUUAGUUAUCAAGAAUCUCGUGAUUUCUUUUCCUGAAUUGCCUGGGACUCAUGUCACAGUUAUGGUUUCCUUUCUCAUUUGUUGAGCAAUAUAUGCAUGGCAGUAGUGAACCCUUUGUAAGUGUCAGUAUAAGCCCUUUUGAUGUUGUAACCAGUGAAAAGAUUAUAUUGCGGGAAAAGAGAAAAUCAAGGUCUGCUUGAUUUGGUGAUUUGGUUCAGCAGUCUGGGCUGUGAAAACCCAGCAAUACUAUCACAUAUGAUUGAAAAGGAAAAUCAUGAAUUGGAAAUAUAUAUGCCGUCUCGACUAAUCAGAUGUGAUCUAUGCUUUUAGCCAUGUUUCUGCACUCUUAGUUGUCAAACAUGACUGUACUGGAGAUUCAUCUUUGCUAAGAAGGAAUUCAGUUUCAAGUUUUCAUACGGAAGAACUUCCAUUACACACUGGAAUAGUACUGCAGCUAUCAGCUUUUAGCUAUGCCAAUACAUGUGCUCCGUUUUAGUGAAUAGCUUUUCCAUACUAAGGACACCUAAACCAUAUGGUAAUUGCUAUAGGAAAAGCAUAUAAGAGCGAGUUGCAUUUUCCUAGGCAUUUUGUGUCUACUGCUUGGAUAUGUAUAAUGUUUUCUCCAGUCUUCACAAACCAACAUUAUAGACGUUUUAGUAUCACAUGGUUUGAAGUAGGUAGUGUACCUGUCUUUAUUGAAUUGUAGUAUUUUUCAAACUGUUGACUUGGGGAUGCAUUUGGUGGGCCUCAGAUUUUUAAACUGUGCUAGCUCCUCUCAUUGACCAAAUAGCAUCAUCUUUCUUACUGCACUGAAUUUAGAAAUCAAAUCUAUCCAAGCACCAGGCAUGCUGAAGAUAUAUAAAUUGUUUUUACAUUGAGAUAUUUCAUUUUUGUGCAUAUAUUGUAUCAAAUAUCUGCUCAAAUUGUUUCUGUAUCUGAAUUUAAUAUACCAGUUAUCUUGAAGGCUGUAAUGCAUAAUACGUUUCAGUUUUCAUCACACAUAAAUACAAUUUUCUUAGUACUUAACAAUAAGGCAGCAUGGUUGAUGAAUGUUCAGAAGGUGCUAAAUAUAGGACCCUCCCUAUAUUUAUUUGUCUACUAUCUUUAGAAGAUGAAUGUGCAGCCUACUAUUUCCCUCUUGCAGAAAAUUCUACUUUUUUCAUUGCGGAUCCUUUAUCCUGUAGUGUCUCAGAUGUUUGUCAGUUUUUCGAGGCAUGCCACAGUAUAUUAUCCAAUCUAUUAUCUAAAAAUUUAAUUCAAGAAGUAAAAUUAUUUAAAAGAUUCCAUAUUGUAAUAUGACUACUAAUAUUUACAGUUUCAUCCUUUCGUCAUGGAUUGAUCUUAUGUUUCAAGCAGAUGGCACCGUUUAGUUGUUGCAGGGAAGGAUGGUCAACUCCUGCCUCCAGCCCGGCGUGUUCUUCUAUAGUCGACCACGCUGGUAUUCUCCAUACAAAACAUGGGUGUUGGUUCUUGCUCCAGGUGCAGGCCUUGGUGGAAGAGAAGGAAUUUUGCGCAUCAAUAAACAACAGUGCAUCCAAAAAGUAUAACCGCUGAUCAGCAAGUGCUCAUCGUAUUGUUAUAGAAGAACAUAUUGUGCCAAGCAAGGAGCUCAUCAUCCUCUCCUGUGUGCCCAUCAUUGGCAACUCCCAAGACAUGGGAACGCUGACACCACCCACCAUACUGUGCUACUUCACCAUCUCGCUAUACUUGGCUCAUUAGAAAUUUUUGGUCAUGUAGACUGUAGAAUCUACUAUCUAUGAUGUACAGAUUAUGCAAGACAAUCCUACUAUCUAUGUAUUUGAGUCCAAUUAUUAUAUAUUAAUGGUAUUAGAUAGAUUACUUGUUACCAAACUGGGUUGUUUGAUUCUCAAAAACCAAUUUCUUUAUGCUCUAACACGUAAUAGUGUAGGACUAUUUUGCCGCUUCUUUUUUAUUGGAUCGGGCAUGGAGGUUAAAAGUACAUGUUUUAGGUGUAACCAUUGAUGCUUUCAGUACAUGGUCAGCGGCGACACAGGCUGCACAAGACCUCGGCGGCGGUCAGUGGUGGAAGCCCGGAGCAGGAGUGAGCAGAGCAGCACUUGGGCUCAGGUUGCGGUUUCGAAUAAAAAGAACAGAAAUUUGGCUGCUGAAGUUGGCAUGGAUAAAGCAUUACUGCGACUUUCUUUCUGGUAUGAUUGUCUUUGGUCAUAACGCAUUUUAAACCCAUAUAAAUGUGUAUAAUUGAACUUCAUAGUUGUAUAUAGGACAUGUUAAAACAUGAAUACCUAAUUUGGUUCCACUUUGGAGUAUGUACUGAAGUUACUUGAAAGUUCCUAUAUUAUUGUGCACGAGUUCGAAACCUAAAUAAAUCCCGUCAUUAUGUAACUUUUAUUGUGAGGCCACUAUGUUAUUCCACUUUGGAGCAAUUGGAAAGCUCUUUGAUAGACCUUAAAUGUUAUAUAAGGGCUUAGCUGGUUCUUUUCUUGUCUUUGUUCAAGUCUUUCGUACCCUGCAUCUUUACAAGGACGAAUUAGGCCAGUGAUUUAUUCAAAUGCCAUAUAGUUAUAUAGGAAGCCUUCUCGGAUAGUAUAUUGCAACCUUUUCUUGACUUACCUUUAGUAACGAAUAUGAUAGUACCCGAGUUAGAUACAUCAAGGUAGUAUACAUAAGAGGAUAUUUAUUCAAUUAAAAAUCAAUGCAUGCAGAUUGUUAAGUAGAGGUACUUCCACGAUGCAGAACAAAUACACAUGUGGUAGAUAUGGGAUCCAAACUGAAGCUAACUUUUGUACUAUUGUCAGCUGUGAACAUUUCUGGAAGAUAAUUUGUCUUGUGUUGGACUCUGCUAUACUUCGUAACAGCAGCCUGUUGUGCCUUAUUAUUUUAUGCCGAUGAUGCACCUAAUGUUCGGAAGAUUCAGAAAUCUAGAAACAAUAUUGUACAUUAAAAGGUGGAAUCUAUCUCUUG